UCUCUAGGGAGCAUGUGCACACUUGUCAUCUUUAUAUCUCCACCUGUGCACUUUUGUAGACCUGGGUCUCUCUCUGAAUGCUAGCCAUUCGGGUUUGAGGAUUGGCUCUCUGCCUCUCUUUACAUUUCUAGGUCUAUGUUUCUUCAUAUAACCAAUGUAUGUCUUAGAACGUAAUUAAAUGGCUUUCAUGCCUAUAAACCUAUACAACUUUCAGCAACGGAUCUCUUGGCUCUCGCAUCGAUGAAGAACGCAGCGAAAUGCGAUAAGUAAUGUGAAUUGCAGAAUUCAGUGAAUCAUCGAAUCUUUGAACGCACCUUGCGCUCCUUGGUAUUCCGAGGAGCAUGCCUGUUUGAGUGUCAUUAAUAUAUCAACCUCCUCAACUUUUGUUUGUCGAGUGUUGGAUGUGGGGGUCUUUUUUGCUGGUCCUCUCAGGUCAGCUCCCCUAAAAUGUAUUAGCAGAACAAUUUGUGGACCGUUCAUUGGUGUGAUAAUUAUCUACGCUAUUGACGUGAAGCAGUUCAGCUUCUAAC
rnacentral:rRNA from 1 species